AGAGUUUGAUCAUGGCUCAGAUUGAACGCUGGCGGCAUGCCUUACACAUGCAAGUCGAACGGCAGCACGGGGCAACCUGGUGGCGAGUGGCGAGCGGGUGAGUAAUGCAUCGGAACGUGCCAUUGAGUGGGGGAUAACGUAGCGAAAGUUGCGCUAAUACCGCAUAUUCUGUGAGCAGGAAAGCAGGGGCCCGCGGCCCAUUAGCUAGUUGGUGGGGUCAAGGCCUACCAAGGCAACGAUGGGUAGCUGGUCUGAGAGGACGAUCAGCCACACUGGGACUGAGACACGGCCCAGACUCCUACGGGAGGCAGCAGUGGGGAAUCUUGCGCAAUGCGCGAAAGCGUGACGCAGCAACACCGCGUGAGGGAAGACGGCCUUAGGGUUGUAAACCUCUUUCAGAUGGGACGAAGGUGAUGCGGUGAAUAGCCGAUGUCAUUGACGGUACCGUCAGAAGAAGCUCCGGCUAACUACGUG
rnacentral:rRNA from 1 species